GAUCCUGGCUCAGGAUGAACGCUAGCUACAGGCUUAACACAUGCAAGUCGAGGGGCAGCAUGGUCUUAGCUUGCUAAGACUGAUGGCGACCGGCGCACGGGUGAGUAACACGUAUCCAACCUGCCGUCUACUCUUGGACAGCCUUCUGAAAGGAAGAUUAAUACAAGAUGGCAUCAUGAGUCCGCAUGUUCACAUGAUUAAAGGUAAUUCCGGUAGACGAUGGGGAG
rnacentral:rRNA from 1 species